rnacentral:piRNA from 1 species
UGCUUAUUUCUGUGUGGCCUGUCGGCUGA